GUGUCCCACCAUCCCACUCUUUUAGCACAGCGGUUCCCUUCCGCACUUCCAUUCACCAUCUUCUCUCCUUUCAGAAUUAAUUUAUUUUGUGGAUUUCUGCAAAAGUUGUUCCCUUCGUCUAAUUUGUCUGGUUUGAGCUCCCAGUUGUCGGUAACCCCAAUUUGGAUUUAUAUCAUUCACUCAAUUUUUCACCGGACUGAGCUUCUUUAAAAUAUGGGAUUCGAUAAAUGUAUCUUGAUGAUACGCAAUGAAGGAUUAAGGGAGAUGGUAAGGAAGGCUUCCUUGCAAGUGAAAAAUAAUACCAAGAUUCCCCAAUGAAGAUUAUGUGGAAAAGGGGUUUUACUCGGUUUGUUCUUGUCAGCUGAUUUAUUUGGGGUAUGCUCAUUCUAAUCGCUUUUGUUAUUUCAUGCUUGGUCUUGCCAGUCAUCUAUUGUUUUCUCUUUAGUUAACUAUUUCACAUGUACUUUCUUUUGUUUCCUUUGCUAUAUUUAUGGAAACAUUCUCAUUUGCUUUGCUUCGAGUUACUUUGGUGGAUGAGGGGUUUGUGGUAAUGAACAAUGUGAUUAAUCAUUGGCUGAUUGGUAAACCUAGCAUAUUUAGCAUGUGAACUCUAAACACAAAUUAAACGCUACCCUAUUUUACAAGUUCCAUGCCUUUAUAGUUAAUGAAACCAUGGCGUAUUUGAAGCUGGAAGUCGUAUGUCUGAUUAUUAUUGCCAAUUUUUGUUUCAGAAAUUAAUUAGAUACCCAUACUUUUUACGUUUCAAGACGGGAUUCUGCAUUUAUCUUCCUUUCUUGAUAUGGAGCCCUUAGUAACAAAAGCAGUAAAAUAUAUGAAAAGACAAGUUAUGGAAAAUAUGGAGCAAUAUAUGAACUUUCUAGAGGAGAUAGGGGGUUUAUAGUUUCCCUGGUAUGGCAGGGGCUGUUUUUGUUGUAAUUCUGUACCAUCUAGGUACCUUUUAAUAAAAUUUACCUUAUCAAAAAAUUAUGAAGUAGUACAUAGAAUUGGGCUUGUAUUAAUGGAUCUCAGUCACCACUUCCGUUGAGAGGACAUAUGGCAACAAAAAGAUUAGAGCUUUAAAGGUUAACAUGCCGCCUUAUCUAACUUAAUUUGAGA